UACGGAGGGUGCAAGCGUUAAUCGGAAUUACUGGGCGUAAAGCGUGCGUAGGCGGUUAUUUAAGUCAGAUGUGAAAGCCCCGGGCUCAACCUGGGAACGGCAUUUGAUACUGGGUGACUAGAGUUUGGUAGAGGAGAGCGGAAUUUCCGGUGUAGCGGUGAAAUGCGUAGAUAUCGGAAGGAACACCAGUGGCGAAGGCGGCUCUCUGGACCAAAACUGACGCUGAGGUACGAAAGCGUGGGUAGCAAACAGG
rnacentral:rRNA from 1 species